rnacentral:rRNA from 1 species
CCCUUAGAUGUUCUGGGCCGCACGCGCGCUACACUGAUGCAUUCAACGAGUCUAAAACCUGGUCUGAUAGGGCUGGGUAAUCUUUUGAAUGUGCAUCGUGAUUGGGAUAGAUGAUUGCAAUUCUUCAUCUUCAACGAGGAAUGCCUAGUAAACGCAAGUCAUCAGCUUGCAUUGAUUACGUCCCUGCCCUCUGUACACACCGCCCGUCGCUCCUACCGAUUGAAUGUUCCGAUGAAUACCAUGGACUGAGAGUAUGAAUGGGUUCGCCUAUUUCUGCUUCUCGGGAAGUGGAGUAAAUCUUAACAUUUAGAGGAAGGAGAAGUCGUAACA